rnacentral:rRNA from 1 species
UACAGAGGGGCAAGCGUUAUUCGGAAUUAUUGGGCGUAAAGGGCGCGUAGGCGGCUUUGCAAGUGACGGGUGAAAUCCCUCGGCUUAACCGAGGAACUGCCUGUCAAACUGCAUGGCUUGAGACCAGGAGAGGUGAGUGGAAUUCCCAGUGUAGCGGUGAAAUGCGUAGAUAUUGGGAGGAACACCAGUGGCGAAGGCGGCUCACUGGACUGGGUACUGACGCUGAUGCGCGAAAGCGUGGGGAGCAACA